GCCGCGAUGGCUGAGUGGUUAAGCGCUCGGUUUCUGAACAUGAGGUCCUGGGUUCGAAUCUCGGUGAAGGCU
rnacentral:tRNA from 1 species